rnacentral:lncRNA from 1 species
UCAGCAAGGGGUUUGUAUUAUGAUGAAAAAUGGAGUAUGGAGCACCGAUGUAAACAAGGGCAACUUCUGAUGAUUGAACCAAUUGGAGAGGAACCGAAAGCUAAGAAUGUGGACUCUGAUCAUGAAGGUAUAAAUUCUAAUGAAGAUGUUGGACCUACCAUAUAUACAAUGCAUGCAUUAGCCGACUACUCUAACCCGCAAACUAUGGAAGUU